AAAGGUUGACCUCGGAUCAGGUAGGAAUA
rnacentral:rRNA from 1 species